AUUGAACGCUGGCGGCAGGCUUAACACAUGCAAGUCGAGCGGGGUGAUGGUGCUUGCACUAUCACUUAGCGGCGGACGGGUGAGUAAUGCUUAGGAAUCUGCCUAUUAGUGGGGGACAACAUCUCGAAAGGGAUGCUAAUACCGCAUACGUCCUACGGGAGAAAGCAGGGGAUCACUUGUGACCUUGCGCUAAUAGAUGAGCCUAAGUCGGAUUAGCUAGUCGGUGGGGUAAAGGCCUCCCAAGGCGACGAUCUGUAGCGGGUCUGAGAGGAGGAUCCGCCACACUGGGACUGAGACGCGGCCCAGACUCCUACGGGAGGCAGCAGUGGGGAAUAUUGGACAAUGGGGGGAACCCUGAUCCAGCCAUGCGGCGUGUGUGAAGAAGGCCUUAUGGUUGUAAAGCACUUUAAGCGAGGAGGAGGCUCUUUUGGUUAAUACCCAAGAUGAGUGGACGUUACUCGCAGAAUAAGCACCGGCUAACUCUGUGCCAGCAGCCGCCGUAA
rnacentral:rRNA from 1 species